GGGCUGAUGAUGACUCCUGCAAAUACAUUCCUUCAUAGCUGAACAAAAUGAGUGAAAACCCUAUACUGUCUUUCUCAUCACGACUAAGGUCC
ensembl:snoRNA SNORD116 Small nucleolar RNA SNORD116